rnacentral:rRNA from 1 species
AACGAACGCUGGCGGCAUGCCUAACACAUGCAAGUCGAACGAGACCUUCGGGUCUAGUGGCGCACGGGUGCGUAACGCGUGGGAACCUGCCCUUAGGUGCGGAAUAACUCCCCGAAAGGGGUGCUAAUACCGGAUAAUGUCUUCGGACCAAAGAUUUAUCGCCUUUGGAUGGGCCGGCGUUGGAUUAGCUAGUUGGUAGGGUAAAAGCCUACCAAGGCGACGAUCCAUAGCUGGUCUGAGAGGAUGAUCAGCCACACUGGGACUGAGACACGGCCCAGACUCCUACGGGAGGCAGCAGUGGGGAAUAUUGGACAAUGGGCGAAAGCCUGAUCCAGCAAUGCCGCGUGAGUGAUGAAGGCCUUAGGGUUGUAAAGCUCUUUUACCCGGGAUGAUAAUGACAGUACCGGGAGAAUAAGCUCCGGCUAACUCCGUG